ACAUGCAAGUCGAACGAACUCUGGUAUUGAUUGGUGCUUGCAUCAUGAUUUACAUUUGAGUGAGUGGCGAACUGGUGAGUAACACGUGGGAAACCUGCCCAGAAGCGGGGGAUAACACCUGGAAACAGAUGCUAAUACCGCAUAACAACUUGGACCGCAUGGUCCGAGUUUGAAAGAUGGCUUCGGCUAUCACUUUUGGAUGGUCCCGCGGCGUAUUAGCUAGAUGGUGGGGUAACGGCUCACCAUGGCAAUGAUACGUAGCCGACCUGAGAGGGUAAUCGGCCACAUUGGGACUGAGACACGGCCCAAACUCCUACGGGAGGCAGCAGUAGGGAAUCUUCCACAAUGGACGAAAGUCUGAUGGAGCAACGCCGCGUGAGUGAAGAAGGGUUUCGGCUCGUAAAACUCUGUUGUUAAAGAAGAACAUAUCUGAGAGUAACUGUUCAGGUAUUGACGGUAUUUAACCAGAAAGCCACGGCUAACUACGUGCCAGCAGCCGCGGUAAUACGUAAGUGGCAAGCGUUGUCCGGAUUUAUUGGGCGUAAAGCGAGCGCAGGCGGUUUUUUAAGUCUGAUGUGAAAGCCUUCGGCUCAACCGAAGAAGUGCAUCGGAAACUGGGAAACUUGAGUGCACAAAAGGACAGUGUAACUCCAUGUGUAGCGGUGAAAUGCGUAUAUAUAUGGAAGAACACCACCGGCGAAUGCGGCUGUCUGGUCUGUUACAGACGCUGAGGCCCGCAUGUAUGCGUGGGCGAUCAUGAUUAUAUAUCCCGGUUGUCCCUACCACAGACGAUGUAUGCUGGCCUGUUGGUGGGAUUUCAGUCCCUCAGUGCUCGCAUGCAACUGCAUCAAGUCAAACAGACAGCUGUAGCACAGCAGACUUAGAAAGAACACUCAUGCGAACUGAUAGCGCGCCCAAUAACUCGCGAACGAAGCUUG
rnacentral:rRNA from 2 species